AAAUCGAUUUUGAAUGAUUACUUUUAUAAUCUUUUCCAUCUUGGAAGAGGUAUUUAGUUAUUUGAGAAAGAACCGAACUACCUUCUGAAAGGAAUACCAUACAUUUUACAAUAGCAGUGAGUAUGGUAUGUUAAUUUCUCAUAUGCUUCUUGUAUGAUAGUUAGUCGAAAUGUAUUGGAGAUAAUGUUGAAGAAGUAAAUAGUAAAAAAUGCGCAUGCAUGCUUGACUCCAUUUGUUCUACAGUACUUUACCCUUGCUAUGAUAUAAAUUCAAAGUAUCGGUUUAAACAGACGAAACCAAUAAGGGUUUAAACUCACAUGGGUUUUUGAAGGAAGAUGAGUCUACAAUGUAAACUAUUCAACUCUUAAAUAACACUUUUUGAUAAAUCGCGAUAUAGCCAAAAACUAGAAGAACCCUAAGUAACUUCUUCUUAUUAAGGUAUAAAACAAGUUUUCUACAUUGCGAAUAACGAAUAGAGAUGAAUGCAUUAAUUCUAACAUUGAAAAUAAUAUAGUCGAUCCUUUGGAUUCCAAAUAAAUUAUGAAAACCAUUUAAAUCAUUAAUUAAAAAUAAAUUAUGAGAUGGAUGCAAUAAAAACCUGAAAUUAAUCAAUAACCUUGAACCAUCUUUGUAGGUGCCUUCCCUAAAAAGAAAUCUAUUAAUGGAAAAUUGCUCAACAGCACUAACGGAAUUAAACCUGCAAGCAUACCAAAUUCUGAGCUAGACUCAAUGUAACCCAAUUUCUUCAUCUCCGACAGUGCAGCCACCUCAAGUUUUUCGCUCACAGCUUGUUUAUCCCUACAGCCUAAAAACAUGGUUAUACUCUUUUCUGUCUCGAAAGAAGGGGUCAAGGUUGCAGGUUGAAUAAGUUCAUGAAGACAACUCAAAAGUGAGUUUAAAUUUCCAAAUUUUACUACAUUAAUCCUCGACCGAACACUAUCUGUUACAUCAGAUAAUCUCAAAUCGAGUUUCGUAUGUGUUUGAGAAGGAAUAAAGGUCUGAGAAUGCUGGUCUGUUGUAAAUCCGUUUGGCUUAGUUAUUUUUCGAAUGUUUUUUCGAAGUUUCGGCCAUACCUUAAAAGCUGAGUCAUUAUGCUUGCUUAACAGCACUUCACUUGUGUAAACGACAUUAGGCAAUGACGUCGCAUAAUCAUCUUUAUAGAAUUCAUCAUAUGUGUAAAUAUAGGCUAUACUCGUCUCUUCAUACAAAAACUUAAGUAAAAGCUCCAAUGCAAUUAAAUCAUUUUCAGUACCCAAAUAUAUGAGAAUUACAACCUUGCUUCUUUCAUAUGUAGAGCCUUUUUCUUUCACACUAAUCUCAACCUGAUCAAAGGACUUCUUGUCCUUUUCUAAUUGUUCAAAAUCAUUCUUCGGUGAACCAUACUCAGUACUACGUAUGAUAGGCCUAAUUUUUUUCACUGAUAAAUUGUGAGGAUUACGUGUGAAAAAUACUCCAACUGGGAUCCGGGCCAUCUUUAUUAAAGGAAUCAACUCAUCCAAAGAUUUAAAAGAAUCACCCAAAGCUAAGCGGAUGGAACUCAAAGACAGAGGAGAAGAAGAGCUCUCAUUCUCAAUUGUUUUAUAAUCCUUCAAAUAGGGCAUGAUCAAAAUGUUUGAAGAAGACUUCUUCAACGUCUCAAGAACCACAUUGUAAUAACCAGUUCCACUCACUAGCAAGGCAUUGCUUUCGUACUCAAAUUUUUUUAUUUUUACAAACGUUUCAAACAAUCCCAUUAGUGCUUCAUUUUCAACCUUAUUAUCGACCUGUGAGGCCCUCAAUAGAUUUGAAGUACGAGAAUCAACAAAAAGUGUCCAAAUACUAUGAAUAAUUAUUUGAGGCAGAUGUAGACAGCCACUCACUUUAUCACGGUUCUCAUAAAUAUGUUGUAUAAAUAUCAUAGCAGCAGAAGCAUCCAAUGGAUGAUUGAUUAAAAAGGAGAGUCGAGUCGGCAAUUCUGGAAGAUACUGCACAAGCUCUUCGGAACUUUCAAUAGAAUUGUCAUCAUGUUCACUUUUAGUGAACCGCAGAAAGAAUUUAGUCAUAGGGGUGGUGACAAAUGUCGUUAUAACAGCCAUAAACACAAACAUGGAGAAAAUUGUUUCAUUCAAUAUUCCAGUUGAGAGACCGAUGUUCAAAACAAUCAAUUCAACAAGGCCCUUACAUGACAUUAACGAUCCAACGACUAGUGAAUCCGACCAUGGCAUUUUGAGAAUCCGAGCAGCAAGCAUACUAGAUCCCAUUUUAGAAGCUAUGGCAACACAUAUUGUUCCAAUCGUGUAUCCCCAUAUUUUCCCAGUGUUAAGCGUAGAAAUAUUUGUCUUCAAUCCUGAACUAGCAAAGUAAAGUGGUAGAAACAAACAAUUUACUAAAUCUUCUAUCUUUUCUGUGAUCUUAACGGUUAAAUCGUUUUCAUGGGGUAUAAUGGUACCGACAAGAAAACCACCGAAAAUUGGAUGAAUGCCGAUAAUGUCGGUGAAGAAAGCAGAAACAAGGACCAUUGAUAAAACAAUGCAUAUAAAAGACUCAGAUGGUUUAUCCUUUAAGGACCUGGUUUUAACUGCUAAUAAGUAUACAAGCGGUUUUAUCGCUAUGAAAAGAAAAAGGCACCACCCCAAAGCGAGCAGUAGUAUAUAUACAGCUCGAACACCGGAGCCACUAUUUACCAAAGUAACUGACAAUGCUAAUAAAAUCCAGCCGAUAACAUCGUUACCAAUGCCAGCACUAAGAACGAUUACGCCGACCCGUUUAUGUAAUAAGUGCAAUUCUGAAAGGAUGCGGGCCAGCACAGGAAAAGCGGUAAUUGACAUAGCUGUGCUAAUAAAAAGUAGAAAUUUACCAAAUUCAAAUUCUCUAGUUGUAAAUUUGUAUAGGCCUGCGGAUAUUCCAGCUCCAGCCCCAAAAGGAAUGACAAUACUGAAGACCGUCACCAGAAGAGUCACUUUGUAAUUUAAAACAAGGACACGAAGAUCAACCUCCAUUCCUAUAACAAAAAGAAAGAGUACCAAACCAAGAUUAGAAACCAAGUUAAGUGGACCCAUAGAACUAGUUGGAAAAAUGUAAUCCAAAAACUUUGGAAUCCUACCCAUCACAGUAGGACCAAGCACAAUUCCACCUAUACUGUUGUUCUGUUAACAACUAUAGAAACCAAAAAGUAGGUACAGGAAGCUUCUCUUUUUCGAGUGAUAAGAAAUACUGCCCUGAUUGACAACUUUCUUAUCGUGCCAAUCUGAGAAAUUAUAAAACAUCUAUUAACUUUUUAAAAGCUUCUUUCUUACUUCCGAUAUCACUUACAUCUCCGCAAUUACUCUUGGCUGCUGUAGAAAAGACAGAGGAAUAUGAAUCAGUCGACAUAAUGCAAUAAUAAUGAUUGCCUAAAGUUGUUAUUAUAAAAUUUCCCAUUAAAUGAGACAUACCUGUACGAUGAACAAAAGCAAUGGGUCCGAUGCACUGUAGACAACGACAUUAUCGCCGUCAAAUAUGCUUUGCGUUGACAUGCCUAACAGCGGAUUAGUUGUUAUAUGAACAAACCGAUUGAUAUUUGAAAUAUAGUCAUUGAUGCACCUACUGCUAUAUUCGAUUAUAUGCGAGUUAAGAUAACUUCAAUCGACUUAAGUUUGCAAUUUUUUAUGAACCCUAACACACAUUGCAUAUAGUAAUGGCGAGGUGCUAGUUGCUUAGUGGUAAGUUUUUACAGCAAUAUACCCUCGUGUUUUUAGCGAAUAAAAAAUUGAGACUUAUUAACAUGCUAUGAGUUUAAUUUAUUUUAGGUAAUGUAAGUUGUGAGACACAAACGGAACCUUCAAAUUUAAAAACUGACAAACACCGUCUUAGGGACGGCGAACUCGGGUACCAAUUUUAUAAGUGUAGCGGAUUUACUAAUAGAAAGCAGAAACCUAUUGAAUAUUUUUUAAUAAAUGCAGUACUUUUUGAUGAACCGUCAUGGUUCCUUUCCUCUAAUAUGAGCGAUUGUUAAAAGUACCCCACAAAACUUUCAUAUAAGAUACUCGAAAUUAUUUAAACGUGUAUAAAUUUUAUAUUGCUUCUCUAAAAAAUAAAAGAAAAUUGAAAAUAUUAACAUUAGCAGCAUAUCAGAAGAAACAAGAAAAAGUAAUCUUUAGAAUACGACACAAAUCUGCAAGCAAUUAAGGUAUUACAGAAAUCCAUAAAAAAUUCCAAAUCCUAAUUAAUGCCAAAUUUUCUAAUACAGACUUGUUUAUCGACACCCAAAAGAAAGUGUUACUUGUAACAACGAUUUCGAUUUUUUUCAAUAAAGUAUCGAGAAAAGCAGCAUAAUCGGAAUGAAUAUGCUAACGUUUUAAAAAAACUAUAGCAUAUUCAUUGGAUGAGGUUAUAAAGGGCUAAAAGUUAACAUACAGCCUACGGCCUGUGACGUUGUCAAAAGUUGCGCAGUGAAAUUUUAAAGCCGCAUUUAGGUAUCUAAGGAGUAGAACACAUCGUUCUCUGGAGCGUCUAUGAAAGAAUGAACAAACAACAAACAUAAUACUGGAUUGCAGCUGAAAGGAAAGCUAAAGCGUCCAAUGGAAUUUCAAUACACUGAGAAGCAGCCAAAAUCAUAACUUACAACUUUCGCAAUUAAGGAGAAAGAAAUCGAAUAAUCCCCAAGAAUGACAAAUAUUUUAUCGUUAAUAUAACCCACAUCUCUUACAAAACGUGUAUUUCUCAAAAUCCAAACAGAAGAAGAACAACAGGGAAGCCGAAUCAAGAAUAUCUAAAGGGGAACUAUUCUUCAUCCGACUCACCGGAUCCUUCUUCUUCAUCGUCAUCGUCAGCAACGACAUCUGCAGAAUAUUGAAGAGCAGGCGCAGGUCCUUCUAAUGCAGAAGCAAAGACAUCGUGAAAGUCUCCUGGAACAAGGUCAAUUGGUCGAAAACCAUCGUUGUUGGUAAGAAGCGGAUCGGCACCAACCUCCAUAAGCAUCUCCACUAUAAUGAAACAAUAGUUAGACAAAUACACUCAACAAAGCAAACACUAUAAACUAUCCCGAAGCAAA